rnacentral:rRNA from 1 species
UACAGAGGGUGCAAGCGUUGUUCGGAAUUAUUGGGCGUAAAGGGAGUGUAGGCGGUGGGUCAAGUCAGGCGUGAAAGCCCCGGGCUCAACCUGGGAACCGCGCUUGAGACUGGCACGCUAGAGUUCGGGAGAGGAUGGUGGAAUUCCCAGUGUAGAGGUGAAAUUCGUAGAUAUUCGCAAGAACACCAGUGGCGAAGGCGGCUCACUGGCCCGGUACUGACUCUGAGGUGCGAAAUCGUGGGGAGCAAACAGG